AGUAAGCGUAUACCAAAGUUGUUGCAGUUAAAACGCUCGUAGUCGGAAUUUGGCAGUUCCGGAUGUGUGCACGUCGUGUGCGCACUUCGCGGGGAUUGCUUUUGUGGUCUUGCGUAGGAUGAGGCACUUUUAUUAGUGAACGUCCUCACGCAACCACUUUUUACUGUGAGAAAAUCAGAGUGCUCAAAGCAGGCAUUUGCCGUGAAUGUAUUAGCAUGGAAUAAUAGAAUAGGACUUGGUUCUAUUUUGUUGGUUUGUUGGGACUGAGUAAUGAUUAAGAGGGACAGUUGGGGGCAUUUGUAUUUCGGUGCUAGAGGUGAAAUUCUUAGAUUACCGAAAGACAAACUGCUGCGAAAGCGUCUGCCAAGGAUGUUUUCAUUGA
rnacentral:rRNA from 1 species